AUGGGUAAUGCAAAAAGCAAGGACGGUGAACAUCAACUAGAAGAGGUCGUUCCUACAGGUCAGAUUAGCGGUACAAAUCAUGAAGAAUACAAUGCAACCUUGAUUCCCUUUGAUGAACUAGAUGGAGCUAAUUACGCGACGGAACCCGCCCCUUCUAGCGAGACAAAUAUUAAAGAAUCUAAUUCAAGCAUCGUAAACGUAUCUGGAAAUGUUGACCCAAUAUACACGACGGAAACAGCCCCUACGAGCGAGACAAAUUUUAAAGAAUCUAGGGCAAGCAUCGUAAACGUAUCUGAAAAUGUUGACCCACGAUACACGACGGAAACAGAAUGGUUGAGGGUUGGGUACCAUGCUGAUGGUCAAACUGAACCGGCUAAUCUGACUGAGCUAAAAGUUGACACAGAAGGUAUGCUCCUUCCCAACCGGGUUGUGCAGUGCUGGUUCAGUGUGUUAUAUUUGUUUUUUUGUUUGUAUUUAUAA
rnacentral:rRNA from 1 species